rnacentral:lncRNA from 1 species
GGGCACUUCUGCCAGGCCCCUUUGAAGGCCAUCAAAAGGUCCCCAGUGGCCUCUGGAGCACACCCAGCGUGCACAUGAGGGUGAGAAGGACAAAGGAGUGAGUGACUAUUGAACUGCUGACCCUCUGACCACUUCAGAACCAGACUAGCCAACUAACCUUCUUAAAAAAUUCCAGACAUCAAUUUUUCUCUCCACUCCUGAGCAAAUCUAUGGGGACAUGUUUUCCACAUCAAACCCUGUAUGAAAUUCUGCAUACAAGAUGCAAUGCAGUAUGACAGAUGUCCAUGAGGACAACGCUAAUGAAAUGUGAUUUUGUCAUGAGCAGUAAAAACCUGGACAUCAACAGCAGUGCCAGAAUAGAUGCUGAUGCUAUUUUUCUUGUAGUUUUAGAGAAAAUGAACACCAAGACAGGGAUCCUGAAUAACACAGAAAUGAAUCUUGAUCUUUUAUUCUAAAGGACAUUCCAGGUCAGAAGUGUGUCCUAAUUGAUGUGGCAUGGCAGAGUAUGGCUCAUUUUCAGCACAGCUUGCAGGAGAAUUGAACGACUUUGAUCACUAUUAAUAGGAGUCCUACCCCCUAUCUCUGCUCAGUGUGUGCUGAAGAUUUGCCCCAAUGUCAGGACAUAUUUGCAACACUAAUAAAAGCCUUUGAG